AUCCAAUGAUGAGCCUUGGCAUGUAUUAUCUGAAACUAAAGUUGAUGACUGUCACUACUCCUUUUUAGCUCUUAGAAUUACUCUUGAGACCU